rnacentral:sRNA from 1 species
AGUGCUAGCUCGCCGAGGCCGCCUCCGGGGACCACCUGGCUUCAUGUGUGGAUUUGCACGGCUCUUGCCCAGAGGCGGGUACACUGUGUUCCAGUGUGCCACAGAACUCACGCAGUGGCACUUUGUGGCUUCAUGAAGGAAGAGGCAGGCCACGCAACACUUCCUCCCCAAGCCAAGGAGAAGUAUCACUUUUAGAGGCAGAGGAGCGGAAGGCAGUGGGGUGACCAAAAGUGCCAUUUAUUAAAGCUUAUCUUCCUUGCCAGAUUUUAAAAACUAUUAUGGAAAAUUUCAAGCAUUCAUAAAAGUAGAGAGAAAGAAAGGACUCUGAGGGGACUCUCCCUCUAAAAAUAGCUCUUAGAAAAGCCAUGUUCCCAGGACUGGGUGCAGUGGCUCACACCUGUAAUCCCAGCACUUUGGGAGGCCAAGGUGGAUGGAUCGCUUGAGGCCAGGAGUUCAAGACCAGCCUGGACAACAUGGCACCAAGGGGAGAAAAGAGGAAAUAUCCAUGUGAAGGAUGUGGAGCUGAGCACCUGGGCGGAGACCCCACGCUACCACUUACUAGUCGUGUGGGCUUUGGCAAG